CCAUCGUACCCUCCUCCUCUUAACGUUUGUUAAUAUUUAUCAAAAUGUCUGGCUAAUGAAAAUCGUGUUUAUUUAACUAUCUUAUCAUUUUUAUUGCAUAUUCUAGCAUAAAUUUAUCAAUUUUGUGGGUAAUGAAAAUCUUGAUUUUACAUUACUUUGUAGAGAUGUAGUGAACUGUUCGAUUUUUGAACCAAGCCGAAAUACCCAAUAGUUUGGUUUUAAAAUCAUUCGAUGCCGAUUCUGCGCGGUCAUCAAUACAAUGUUCUGUGGUGGGGUAGAGCAGCCUUGUUACGA